GGAUGGUUAGAUUUUUUCACACAACUCUUGGCAGCUGUCCAAUCUGUUGAAGAUACAACUUCUUGAUAAAACAUUCUGAUUGGGACAAUAGCUGUGAUUGGUGCAAUGUAAUAGUAGCUUCUAUAAUCUUCCUUACCAUCCAGCUGGCUUGGUUAGGAAUUUUUAUGAUAUGAAGCUGUUGUUGCUUAAUGUAGACAGCAUGAAUCCAUUUAACCCACAGUACAUCCUUCU
rnacentral:lncRNA from 1 species